AGGCAUUCUUUGCUAAUAAUUUCCUUUUUCCAUUCUCUCUUUGCCUUUAACACCUUUUGUUUCCUACAGCUUAAUGAAAUUCCUUUCUAUUUUCCAGAUGAGAUGCUAUCUGACUCAUGAAUCAUUGAAGCCACUUUGAUCUCUAAAUUUAUUCAGCUGAAUUUUUGUUACGUAACAGAUUUGCUGGCAGAGACCAGACCAAAGGAUACUUCUGACAGCUCUGGGGACACCAAGAAACAGGUGUGGGUGGCAUUUUGCGAACACUGAAUUUACAGUCUUUCUCGCCAUUUCCAAGGGCCAUGGAAUCAAUAAGAACAAAGACUGCCCUCCUCACCACCCAGAGGGCAGCCAGACUCCAGGGACUUAAACUUUGGAUAUGGAUCUCACAGCUGGAGAGAAGGCCCCACCUGGUAUCUGGUCCCACACAAAUGUUAGAGACCUCCCAGUCAAAGUGACCAGAGACAGAAGUAGCUGACAUCGCAGUAGACUGCUUCCUCCCAAGCCGCCCAGAUGAAGUCUUCAUACUUUAACGAAAUAGGAAGUCUUUUCUUCUUCCUUUUCUUUCCUUUACUCUGGUGCCAGCCUGGAAAGCUAACACCAUCAUCCACAUUUCCUGGGCCAUGGACAAGGGCGGAAGGCGGGUAAUGCCUGGAACUUAGAACAACCUUUUACUUCAGGCUAAGAGAGGACCUAACUGUACCCUGGCUUGGAUGGGCAAAUGCAACAAUCCCUGGGAAUGCCUCUACCUAACAGGGGCACCUGCUCAAGGAGUGGUUUGUGCCCUGAGAGAAUUUGUCCUUGUCCAUGGUUGCUAUCAUCCUCCCUGGAUCUACAAAGGACUAGAUGGCUGGUACACAGCCAGGAAGUGCCUUUUAGGCUAUCCAAGUGUGCCAGUAGCUCGCCACAAAUGAACUAAGACGCCUUAUUGUACAGCUCCCCUGGAUUUACAUCAUUGAGUUGGAGGAAGAACUGAAUUAGAAAGGAAUCAUUGAUAUUCAUGACUUGGAUUCCCUUCCUUCGAUAGGGCCCACUCCUCCCUGGGUAGGAGUAGAGGUACAUCAGAAUCUGAUCAUAAACCUUUCCUUAACUCUGGAAGAUAUGGUAGAAUCCAUUGCCAAGACAAGAGCUGUGCCACCAAGAUCCUUAGACAGACUCUGGCCAGAGCUGUUCUCGAUGGUAGGAUAGUCCUUAAUUAUCCUUAGCUGAGCAAGGUGAUGUCCAUGCUCUGGUCAACACCAGUGCUGCACCUGCAGUAACACUUCUGGAGGAGUUGAGACUCACUCACAUAAGAUCACCGAGCAAGCCACUUGGCUUGAAAGGGUGACUCCUAUGGUGGGGUCCCUCUUAGACUUCUUUGAUUUUGAUUGGCUUGGGUGUUCCAGACCAGGGCUCCAAAGUGCAUUCCAAACAUCAGGAAUUAAUCCUGCUUAGAGUAAUCAUCAUAGUCUCCCUGGUCCAUUAUUACCCUCCCAACAGCUCCAAAUGCACGUUCACAGCCACUGACCACCUAGCAAAGGAUUGCCCCAAACCAGAAACAUCAAAAAAGGAAUGAAGAGAAUGAGCAAUGUAAAGACCUUGAAUCUGAUGUCAUGUGGCCUGUGAUUAUCACAGAGGUUAAGCCAAAAAACCCUCCUGACCUGUGAAUAUCACAAAAAGGAUCAACAAAAUUUCACAAAAGAAGCUGUGAGAACGGCAGAGCAGGAGCUGAGAGAGGUGCUAAUGCCUUAUGUUUCCAUCGGACCUCGAAGUUAAGCUGAGAAUCUGAUCAAAAGUGAGGGAUUUUUUUUUAAAGGAGAAGCAAGCUUUUUUUUUUUUUUUUGGUAAGAUUUACUUACUCAUUUCAGAGAGAGAAUCUCAAGUGGACACAGAUGGGGCUUGAUCCCGUGACUUCAAGAUCACAAUCAUGAUACUAUGAUCUGAGUCUAAACCAAGUCGCCCAACUGACUGUCCCGCCCAGGCACCCCUCUUCCACCCAAAUUCUAGGAGGGGUUUGAGAAUAUCUCCGGACUAGAGGAAUGGAAGUAUGUAUUCACCUGGCAUCCAGAGCGAACUCCGUCUCCUCCAGCACACACCAUGGUUUUCUUCACGGUGGAGCCCCAGUAGGAGGAGCUGGAGCAGGUGGCGUAGUCCACAGUGGGCAGG